AGUCGAGCGGACAGAAGGGAGCUUGCUCCCGGAUGUUAGCGGCGGACGGGUGAGUAACACGUGGGUAACCUGCCUGUAAGACUGGGAUAACUCCGGGAAACCGGAGCUAAUACCGGAUAGUUCCUUGAACCGCAUGGUUCAAGGAUGAAAGACGGUUUCGGCUGUCACUUACAGAUGGACCCGCGGCGCAUUAGCUAGUUGGUGAGGUAACGGCUCACCAAGGCGACGAUGCGUAGCCGACCUGAGAGGGUGAUCGGCCACACUGGGACUGAGACACGGCCCAGACUCCUACGGGAGGCAGCAGUAGGGAAUCUUCCGCAAUGGACGAAAGUCUGACGGAGCAACGCCGCGUGAGUGAUGAAGGUUUUCGGAUCGUAAAGCUCUGUUGUUAGGGAAGAACAAGUGCAAGAGUAACUGCUUGCACCUUGACGGUACCUAACCAGAAAGCCACGGCUAACUACGUGCCAGCAGCCGCGGUAAUACGUAGGUGGCAAGCGUUGUCCGGAAUUAUUGGGCGUAAAGGGCUCGCAGGCGGUUUCUUAAGUCUGAUGUGAAAGCCCCCGGCUCAACCGGGGAGGGUCAUUGGAAACUGGGAAACUUGAGUGCAGAAGAGGAGAGUGGAAUUCCACGUGUAGCGGUGAAAUGCGUAGAGAUGUGGAGGAACACCAGUGGCGAAGGCGACUCUCUGGUCUGUAACUGACGCUGAGGAGCGAAAGCGUGGGGAGCGAACAGGAUUAGAUACCCUGGUAGUCCACGCCGUAAACGAUGAGUGCUAAGUGUUAGG
rnacentral:rRNA from 1 species